GACACAUACUAUGCUAAUCUCACUUCUUUAGGCUAAAAAAAAAAAAAAAGUCUUUGUUCACAUAGGUAAUAUAUACAUCUUUCAGAAUUUAUGGAGCUUGCUAGAUGGUGAAGGAACCAAGUUAAUGGAAGGGCCUUGAUAAUGAGUUUCUCAUGUGACAAUCUUUGCUAUUUCUGAUUUUGUGGAUUUAGAACAAAGUUACAAAUGUGUUUAUUAAUUAGUAAGGCAA
rnacentral:lncRNA from 1 species